rnacentral:rRNA from 1 species
UACGUAGGGGGCGAGCGUUGUCCGGAUUUAUUGGGCGUAAAGAGCUCGUAGGCGGUUUGGUAAGUCGGGUGUGAAAUCUCCACGCUCAACGUGGAGGGGCCACUCGAUACUGCCAUGACUCGAGUCCGGUAGAGGAGUGUGGAAUUCCCGGUGUAGCGGUGAAAUGCGCAGAUAUCAGGAGGAACACCAGCGGCGAAGGCGGCGCUCUGGGCUGGAACUGACGCUGAGGAGCGAAAGCGUGGGGAGCAAACAGG